rnacentral:rRNA from 1 species
AGAGUUUGAUCCUGGCUCAGGAUGAACGCUAGCGACAGGCUUAACACAUGCAAGUCGAGGGGCAGCGGGGUAGGAAGCUUGCUUUCUGCCGCCGGCGACCGGCGCACGGGUGAGUAACACGUAUGCAACCUGGCCGUGACAGAUGGAUAACCGGGAGAAAUCCCGCCUAAUACAACAUAAUGCCGGGAGGGGACAUCCCCUGCCGGCCAAAGGGGGCGACCCCGGUCACGGAUGGGCAUGCGGCGCAUUAGGUAGUUGGUGGGGCAACGGCCCACCAAGCCGACGAUGCGUAGGGGUUCUGAGAGGAAGGUCCCCCACAUUGGAACUGAGACACGGUCCAAACUCCUACGGGAGGCAGCAGUGGGGAAUAUUGGUCAAUGGCCGGAAGGCUGAACCAGCCAAGUCGCGUGAGGGAAUAAGGCCCUACGGGUCGUAAACCUCUUUUGCCAGGGAGCAAUGCCGUCCACGUGUGGACGGAAGGAGAGUACCUGGAGAAAAAGCAUCGGCUAACUCCGUGCCAGCAGCCGCGGUAAUACGGAGGAUGCGAGCGUUAUCCGGAUUUAUUGGGUUUAAAGGGUGCGUAGGCGGCCUGCCAAGUCAGCGGUAAAAUUGCGGGGCUCAACCCCGUACAGCCGUUGAAACUGCCGGGCUCGAGUGGGCGAGAAGUAUGCGGAAUGCGUGGUGUAGCGGUGAAAUGCAUAGAUAUCACGCAGAACCCCGAUUGCGAAGGCAGCAUACCGGCGCCCGACUGACGCUGAGGCACGAAAGUGCGGGGAUCAAACAGGAUUAGAUACCCUGGUAGUCCGCACAGUAAACGAUGAAUGCUAGCUGUCCGGGGGGAUUGACCCCUGGGUGGCACAGCGAAAGCGUUAAGCAUUCCACCUGGGGAGUACGCCGGCAACGGUGAAACUCAAAGGAAUUGACGGGGGCCCGCACAAGCGGAGGAACAUGUGGUUUAAUUCGAUGAUACGCGAGGAACCUUACCCGGGCUCAAACGGGAGAUGACGCGGGCAGAGACGCCCGUUUCUUAGGACAUCUUCCGAGGUGCUGCAUGGUUGUCGUCAGCUCGUGCCGUGAGGUGUCGGCUUAAGUGCCAUAACGAGCGCAACCCCUGCCGACAGUUGCUAACGCGUUGAGGCGAGGACUCUGUCGGGACUGCCGGCGCAAGCCGCGAGGAAGGCGGGGAUGACGUCAAAUCAGCACGGCCCUUACGUCCGGGGCGACACACGUGUUACAAUGGGGGGUACAGCGGGAAGCCAGGCGGCGACGCCGAGCGGAACCCGAAAGCCUCUCUCAGUUCGGAUCGGAGUCUGCAACCCGACUCCGUGAAGCUGGAUUCGCUAGUAAUCGCGCAUCAGCCAUGGCGCGGUGAAUACGUUCCCGGGCCUUGUACACACCGCCCGUCAAG